rnacentral:lncRNA from 1 species
AGGCCGUGACUUGAAACUGAUAUUCAUUGUGUAACCUUUUUUAUUCUCUUGCAGAGUGUCGUUUGGGAGAACAGGUUGGCCCUCCAGCUCAUCAAGUGAGGCCAAAUCCUGGAAUUGAAAUAAAGACCAUGAAUUGACACAGACAGAAAGGGGAAAACUCGAAUGAACUGACAGAUUUUGCAAUGUGUACAGAAGGUCAACAAAUAUGAGGCUUGCUCAUCUGAAAACAACGUAAAUUCCAGAGUUGAAGGUCUGGCGUUAAGUUCAUCGUAUGCCAUGAAAAACCAGCCAAGGCAAGGAUGUGAAUUACAAACAACAUGCAGCACCAGUGAGUCAGUCCUAGUUUAACAUGAGCUAACCUGUCUUAUUCACUACAAAUGUUAGUUACCAAUCUAUACCUGGAAAACUUUUAAAAUUUGGAGUAACAAAAAGAAACGUUGAACUACCUGACAAGCAGUGCUGCAAAGGACGUCCUUUUUAGCAGAAUGCCAGGUCAGUGGCGUCUUUUUCCAACUACAGCAGGUGAACUUCCCUCUGUGCUAAGCAUU